CCUACGGGGGGCAGCAGUGGGGAAUAUUGCACAAUGGGCGCAAGUCUGAUGCAGCCAUGCCGCGUGUGUGAAGAAGGCCUUCGGGUUGUAAAGCACUUUCAGCGGGGAGGAAGGCGGUGAGGUUAAUAACCUCAUCGAUUGACGUUACCCGCAGAAGAAGCACCGGCUAACUCCGUGCCAGCAGCCGCGGUAAUACGGAGGGUGCAAGCGUUAAUCGGAAUUACUGGGCGUAAAGCGCACGCAGGCGGUCUGUCAAGUCGGAUGUGAAAUCCCCGGGCUCAACCUGGGAACUGCAUUCGAAACUGGCAGGCUAGAGUCUUGUAGAGGGGGGUAGAAUUCCAGGUGUAGCGGUGAAAUGCGUAGAGAUCUGGAGGAAUACCGGUGGCGAAGGCGGCCCCCUGGACAAAGACUGACGCUCAGGUGCGAAAGCGUGGGGAGCAAACAGGAUUAGAUACCCCGGUAGUC
rnacentral:rRNA from 1 species